AACGAACGCUGGCGGCAUGCCUAACACAUGCAAGUCGAACGAGACCUUCGGGUCUAGUGGCGCAAGGGUGCGUAACGCGGGGGAACCUGCCCGUAGGUUCGGAAUAACUCCCCGAAAGGGGUGCUAAUACCGGAUAAUGUCUUCGGACCAAAGAUUUAUCGCCUUUGGAUGGGCCCGCGUUGGAUUAGCUAGUUGGUAGGGUAAAAGCCUACCAAGGGGACGAUCCAUAGCUGGUCUGAGAGGAUGAUCAGCCACACUGGGACUGAGCAACGGCCCAGACUCCUGCGGGAGGAAGAGGUGGGGAAUAUAGGAAAAGGGGGGAAUGAGUGACACAGCAGUGUCGCGUGAGAGAUGAAGGCCUUAGAGUUGUAAAGCUCUUUUACACGGGAUGAUAAUGACAGUACCGGGAGAAUAAGCCCCGGCUAACUCCGUG
rnacentral:rRNA from 1 species